AGGAGUUUAGGUUAAACCAGACCAAGAGCCUUCAAAGCUCUAAGCAAAUAACAUAAUUAUUUAACUCCUG
rnacentral:tRNA from 1 species